GAUGAACGCUAGCGGCAGGCUUAAUACAUGCAAGUCGAGGGACAGCACAGGUAGCAAUACUGGGUGGUAACCGGCAAACGGGUGCGGAACACGUACACAACCUUCCUUUAAGGGGGGGAUAGCCCAGAGAAAUUUGGAUUAAUACCCCGUAAUAUAGUUGAAUGGCAUCAUUUGAUUAUUAUAGCUACGGCGCUUAAUGAUGGGUGUGCGGCUGAUUAGAUAGUUGGCGGGGUAACGGCCCACCAAGUCUACGAUCAGUAGCUGAAGUGAGAGCAUGAUCAGCCACACGGGCACUGAGACACGGGCCCGACUCCUACGGGAGGCAGCAGUAAGGAAUAUUGGUCAAUGGACGCAAGUCUGAACCAGCCAUGCCGCGUGAAGGAUUAAGGUCCUCUGGAUUGUAAACUUCUUUUAUUUGGGACGAAAAAGGGCCUUUCUAGGUCAACUGACGGUACCAGAUGAAUAAGCACCGGCUAACUCCGUGCCAGCCGCCGCGGUAAAAC
rnacentral:rRNA from 1 species